rnacentral:lncRNA from 1 species
UGCAGUAAAGAAAAGUAGCAGGACUUCGAAAUAUAGCCUUGGCUUUCAACCUGCUAAAUAGGCAGUAGCACAAGUAGUAGUAAAGAAAGAGAAAGUAUUGAGUGUAAGUGUGAGUUCAGAGCUAAAAUUGUUCAUUGUUUGAAAGAAGAGGAGUACAAGGUAUUUCUAGCUUUUGAAAACGAGUAAAAUUGAGGUAAUAAGCCACAAACAUGGAAACAAUCACCAAUAAGAAUCAAUCACACACAUGAUUCCCUUUAAUUAAGGGUCAAUUCCUCAACGAGCAUGACAAAUUCAAAAAUAAGGAAAGAAAUCAGUUUUUAGGCUCUUAUGCGUUGGGUCGGUACAACCUUUUGUACGGGUUGACGAUAGUGGCUCUUACCCAUUGGGUCAGUACUGUCACACUUCCUUUUUACCUACCCGAGGGGAAUAAGAGGAGUUUUUCCAAUUUAAGUGACAUUAUUCGAAAUAGGAUUAUUUUUUCAAUUUUAUUCUGAGUCGCCAUUCGGGGUGGAAUAUUUCUUGUGUCCCAAGUCACUGUUUUAUUUUAGAUCCCAAAUUGAGGAAAGUUCGACUUUCCUUUUGAAGUCCGCGAACCAGAAAUUCUGAAUAAAGAAUUAUGUUAACCCGAGUUGUUAGGCACCCCCAGAUUCUGUGGUUCUAGCACGGUCCCUUAAAUAUCAUAAUUGGCUUAUUAUCUGAUUUUAAUACAUGUUUUAGCCUAUAGUAUGAUUUUAAAUUAUUAAUCGCUUUUAAAUAAUUUUAGAAAGAUUCAACGUUAUCUAAAACACGUCUUUGAACCACGGCACAUUAAAUGCACCCGCAUUCCACGACAUAUUUUAUUUAACGUUGUUGAUAUUUGGAUUUGGGUCACAUGAAAUACACACUCGAGUUUAAGGAAAUUAAUUUAAAUAACGCACCUAAAUCAACUACAUAUUUUCAAAUUUACGAGGGCCAUGAAAAUUUCAACUAAAUGGCACGCCUCAAUUUCUAGGAUUAAGAUUAAUUAAAUGAGGACCAUGAGUUUAGGAAUAUUAUUUGGUAUGGCGUACCUCAAAUUAUUCCUAUAGAUUUAUAACGUAACUAAAGCAGACUACGAAGAUUCAAUUUUCAAUAGCAACAUUACUUAUGUACGAAAUGCCUAAUGCCUACUUACAUUAACCACUAAAUUCCAAAUAACUGAAGCUUCACAUGACUUUAGGAAAAAGCUAAAAUAAUACAUUGUAAGAAGGAAAUAGACAUGUACAAGGUGAUUCAAAGCAUGAAAAAAAAUUAAUUGCAACAGUUGGCUCAUUUUUGCUACUUGAAAAAAAAAAAUCUAAACCAAUAACUAUAACUAAUAAAAAGGCUUUCCUAUGAGUUGACUUAACAUGACUUAGAUUAGUUUAAAUAUUCAUUUUCCGUCUAUGUAUCUCCAACCUUGCCUCUAUUUUUUGUCCUUAUAAUAAAAAAAUUCCUAUUUUGAUAACAACUUACUCAAAUCAUUCCCUCAUUUUUUUUCUCCCAAAUUUUUUAUAUUCUUCUCUCUCUUUAAUAUUUUAUUAUUAUCUUUCAUUUCAUUUCAAUUUUAUUUUUUAAUUUCCAUUAAACAAAUUCCAUCUUUUAUUUUUAUUAAUUUGCAAUUUCAUAAUUAAAAUAAUUCCAUAAAUUUUUAAAUAAUAUAAUUUGUAAGCAAUUAUUAUAUAUUAAUUAAUAAUUCAAAUAAAAAUAAAAUCAUUAUGAUACAAAAUUAAUUAAAUACAUAUUACAUAAUGAUAAAAUUGGAACGGAGGAAGUAAUAUUUUGUAUUCACACCUUUCAAUAUUAACAACAUCUAAUUUUUUGUAUUUGCACCAUUCAUUUUUGUGAGAUAAUUACAUAUUUUUUGUACAAUUAACUUAUAAUAACAUUAACAUAUAAUUUUACAUAAAAAUAAUAAAUGCACGAAAAUUAGUUUAUCAAAAUUAUACACCAAUACAUAAACAUAAUUAGUAUAUAUAAAGAUAUUACAUAAACAUAAUUAGUAUAUAUAAAGAGUUAAAAUAAAAGAUUAAAUAAUUAAAAUAAUAAUAAAAUAUGGGUGAAUAGUAAUGGAGGAGAUGUAUAGUGUACCCCAUAUUUGAGGAAACACUAUUCAUCCCAAUUACUGUUACAAAUAUGGGGGAGGGUUAGAGCAAAAUGCCCCCAUUUUUUUUUCCAUUAUAGGAAAUGGGGCAAGGUUGAAGAUGCCCUAAGAUCACAUGACUUCAUUCUUUACUUGAUCAUCCGAAAACAAUUAAAGUCUCCAAAUGUUCAUCCAUAUACUAAAAUUAAAGAAGACAAAAAAAGGAGAAUAAAAGCAUAUAAAGCAGGUUGUCUAUAUCUACCAACACUUAUUUUCAACGUAUUAAACCGGAUUGAACAUAAGAUAAUACGACGCUAUAGAUAAGACUUACUUGGUCUCUAAAUCAAAUAUUUCACCAGGAGGGAUUGAAAUAGUAACAGUGGUCGAUAGACACGGUGCCUAAAUCACAAUGACACAUACACUUAUAAGCAAAAUCACCGCUGAAGUAUCACUAGGGUGGUCUGGUUGGAAAUUUUUGGCGUGAGGCUUUGGAGAAAAUGGAGGAAGGGGAAGGGAGCUCCUCUUUUGGGUGUGAGCUUUUCUGGAAAUGAAUAUAGAGAAGAAGAAGCGUUGGGGGAAUGCGUCGUUUCUUCAGGGUCCAAGUCUAGGAGCUCCUGAUUUUUCUA